rnacentral:SRP_RNA from 1 species
GCCGGGCCCCGUGGUGCAUGCUUGUGAUUCCAGCACCCAGGGAGGCUGAGGCCGGUGGAUCGCUUGAGCUUGGGAGUCCUGGGUUGCAGGAGGCUGCACUGAGCGAGUGUCUGUGCUAAGGGUGGCAUUGAUGGGAAGGGAGGUCCGUGGAGAGCCAGGGGUCCCCAGGUUGCCUAAGGAGGGGCGAACUGGCCCAGGUUGGGAACGGAGCAGGUCAAAGCUCCUGUGUAGCUCAGUAGCGGGAUAGCACCUGUGAGCAGCCCCUGCAGCGCAGCCUGGGCGAGACACGGAGACCCGCC